rnacentral:rRNA from 1 species
UUUGAUUAUGGCUCAGGACGAACGCUGGCGGCGCGCCUAACACAUGCAAGUCGAACGGAGCUGAGAGGAGCUUGCUUUUCUUAGCUUAGUGGCGAACGGGUGAGUAACGCGUGAGUAACCUGCCCUGGAGUGGGGGACAACAGUUGGAAACGACUGCUAAUACCGCAUAAGCCCACGGUCCGGCAUCGGAUUGAGGGAAAAGGAUUUAUUCGCUUCAGGAUGGACUCGCGUCCAAUUAGCUAGUUGGUGAGGUAACGGCCCACCAAGGCGACGAUUGGUAGCCGGACUGAGAGGUUGAACGGCCACAUUGGGACUGAGACACGGCCCAGACUCCUACGGGAGGCAGCAGUGGGGGAUAUUGCACAAUGGGGGAAACCCUGAUGCAGCGACGCCGCGUGGAGGAAGAAGGUUUUCGGAUUGUAAACUCCUGUCGUUAGGGACGAUAAUGACGGUACCUAACAAGAAAGCACCGGCUAACUACGUGCCAGCAGCCGCGGUAAAACGUAGGGUGCAAGCGUUGUCCGGAAUUACUGGGUGUAAAGGGAGCGCAGGCGGACCGGCAAGUUGGAAGUGAAAACUAUGGGCUCAGCCCAUAAAUUGCUUUCAAAACUGCUGGCCUUGAGUAGUGCAGAGGUAGGUGGAAUUCCCGGUGUAGCGGUGGAAUGCGUAGAUAUCGGGAGGAGCACCAGUGGCGAAGGCGACCUACUGGGCACCAACUGACGCUGAGGCUCGAAAGCAUGGGUAGCAAACAGGAUUAGAUACCCUGGUAGUCCAUGCCGUAAACGAUGAUUACUAGGUGUUGGAGGAUUGACCCCUUCAGUGCCGCAGUUAACACAAUAAGUAAUCCACCUGGGGAGUACGACCGCAAGGUUGCAACUCAAAUGAAUUGACGGA